rnacentral:rRNA from 1 species
AAUGAACGUUGGCGGCGUGGAUUAGGCAUGCAAGUCGUACGGGCCGCAAGGCCAGUGGCGCAAGGGUGAGUAAGGCGACGGUAACCAACCCCGUGACUGGGUAUAGCCGCGGGAAACUGCGGGUAAUCCCCAGCGACGUCCGGGAGGGGCAUCCUCCCCGGACCAAAGCUCCGGCGUCGGGGGACGGGCCGUCGUGGUAUUAGGUCGUUGGCGGGGUAACGGCCCACCAAGCCGGCGAUGCCUACCGGGCGUGCGAGCGCGACCCGGCACACUGGGACUGAGACACUGCCCAGACUCCUACGGGAGGCUGCAGUCGAGAAUCUUCGGCAAUGGGCGCAAGCCUGACCGAGCGACGCCGCGUGGAGGACGAAGGCCUUCGGGUUGUAAACUCCUGUCGAGGGGGAAGAAGGCCCCGCGAGGGGCUUGACUGAUCCCUGGAGGAAGCACGGGCUAAGUUCGUGCCAGCAGCCGCCGUAAAAC